rnacentral:rRNA from 1 species
UUCGGACCUUGCGCGAUUGAAUGAGCCGAUGUCGGAUUAGCUAGUUGGCGGGGUAAAGGCCCACCAAGGCGACGAUCCGUAGCUGGUCUGAGAGGAUGAUCAGCCACACUGGAACUGAGACACGGUCCAGACUCCUACGGGAGGCAGCAGUGGGGAAUAUUGGACAAUGGGCGCAAGCCUGAUCCAGCCAUACCGCGUGGGUGAAGAAGGCCUUCGGGUUGUAAAGCCCUUUUGUUGGGAAAGAAAUCCAGCCGGCUAAUACCCGGUUGGGAUGACGGUACCCAAAGAAUAAGCACCGGCUAACUUCGUGCCAGCAGCCGCGGUAAUACGAAGGGUGCAAGCGUUACUCGGAAUUACUGGGCGUAAAGCGUGCGUAGGUGGUCGUUUAAGUCCGUUGUGAAAGCCCUGGGCUCAACCUGGGAACUGCAGUGGAUACUGGGCGACUAGAGUGUGGUAGAGGGUAGCGGAAUUCCUGGUGUAGCAGUGAAAUGCGUAGAGAUCAGGAGGAACAUCCAUGGCGAAGGCAGCUACCUGGACCAACAC